rnacentral:sRNA from 1 species
AUAAAAAGACAGAAUUUCAUAUGAUAAGAUAUGAACCAUAACGUAAUAAUAAUAAAAAA